CUUAGACAUGCAAGUCGAGCGGUAACAGGGGGUGCUUGCACCCCGCUGACGAGCGGCGGACGGGUGAGUAAUGCUUAGGAAUCUGCCCAGUAGUGGGGGAUAGCCCGGGGAAACCCGGAUUAAUACCGCAUACGUCCUACGGGAGAAAGCAGGGGAUCUUCGGACCUUGCGCUACUGGAUGAGCCUAAGUCGGAUUAGCUAGUUGGUGGGGUAAAGGCCUACCAAGGCGACGAUCCGUAGCUGGUCUGAGAGGAUGAUCAGCCACAUCGGGACUGAGACACGGCCCGAACUCCUACGGGAGGCAGCAGUGGGGAAUAUUGGACAAUGGGGGCAACCCUGAUCCAGCCAUGCCGCGUGUGUGAAGAAGGCUUUCGGGUUGUAAAGCACUUUCAGCGAGGAGGAAGGCUCUGAAGUUAAUACCUUCAGGGAUUGACGUUACUCGCAGAAGAAGCACCGGCUAACUCCGUGCCAGCAGCCGCGGUAAUACGGAGGGUGCAAGCGUUAAUCGGAAUUACUGGGCGUAAAGCGCGCGUAGGUGGUUAGGUAAGCGAGAUGUGAAAGCCCCGGGCUUAACCUGGGAACGGCAUUUCGAACUGUCUGACUAGAGUGUGGUAGAGGGUAGUGGAAUUUCCUGUGUAGCGGUGAAAUGCGUAGAUAUAGGAAGGAACACCAGUGGCGAAGGCGGCUACCUGGACCAACACUGACACUGAGGUGCGAAAAGCGUGGGGAGCAAACAGGAUUAGAUACCCUGGUAGUCCACGCCGUAAACGAUGUCAACUAGCCGUUGGGACUCUUGAAGUCUUAGUGGCGCAGCUAACGCACUAAGUUGACCGCCUGGGGAGUACGGCCGCAAGGUUAAAACUCAAAUGAAUUGACGGGGCCCCGCACAAGCGGUGGAGCAUGUGGUUUAAUUCGACGCAACGCGAAGAACCUUACCUGGCCUUGACAUCCAGAGAACUUUCCAGAGAUGGAUUGGUGCCUUCGGGAACUCUGAGACAGGUGCUGCAUGGCCGUCGUCAGCUCGUGUCGUGAGAUGUUGGGUUAAGUCCCGUAACGAGCGCAACCCCUAUCCCUGGUUGCUAGCAGGUAAUGCUGAGAACUCCAGGGAGACUGCCGGUGACAAACCGGAGGAAGGUGGGGAUGACGUCAGGUCAUCAUGGCCCUUACGGCCAGGGCUACACACGUGCUACAAUGGCGCGUACAGAGGGCUGCCAACUCGCGAGAGUGCGCCAAUCCCUUAAAACGCGUCGUAGUCCGGAUCGGAGUCUGCAACUCGACUCCGUGAAGUCGGAAUCGCUAGUAAUCGCGAAUCAGAAUGUCGCGGUGAAUACGUUCCCGGGCCUUGUACACACCGCCCGUCACACCAUGGGAGUGGAUUGCACCAGAAGUAGUUAGUCUAACCUUCGGGAGGACGAUUACCACGGUGUGGUUCAUGACUGGGGGAAGUCGAACAAGG
rnacentral:rRNA from 1 species